rnacentral:lncRNA from 1 species
UUAUCCGUUCAAAAGGAAAUAGAACCAUUCAAGAAUUUAUUAGCAGGACCAUAGUUGCGUAAACGAAGGAAAAAGAAAAUCAAGAUUCACUUGCUUGUUUUCAAGAAAAUCAAGAAACCGAAUCUUGGUCCAGUUUUGCUGUUUUGAGCGAGUUCAAGAAUCAAGAAAAUCAAGAUUUCAAAUCUUGGAAAUCUUGGUCCAAGACACUGAAUCUUGUAGCUAAGGCGCAUUGGAUUUCAGUUACGGGCAUCAACGAACCAAUUUUAGUGGAAAACAGAUUACAAGCCCAAGUUCUUGAAGGCAAGGCCCAAUAAGACGUUCCAAGCCCAAUCAGGAAAU